UGGGGAAUAUUGCACAAUGGGCGAAAGCCUGAUGCAGCAACGCCGCGUGAGUGAUGAAGGUCUUCGGAUUGUAAAGCUCUGUCUUUUGGGACGAUAAUGACGGUACCAAAGGAGGAAGCCACGGCUAACUACGUGCCAGCAGCCGCGGUAAUACGUAGGUGGCGAGCGUUGUCCGGAUUUACUGGGCGUAAAGGGUGCGUAGGCGGAUGUUUAAGUGAGAUGUGAAAUACCCGGGCUUAACUUGGGUGCUGCAUUUCAAACUGGAUAUCUAGAGUGCAGGAGAGGAGAAUGGAAUUCCUAGUGUAGCGGUGAAAUGCGUAGAGAUUAGGAAGAACACCAGUGGCGAAGGCGAUUCUCUGGACUGUAACUGACGCUGAGGCACGAAAGCGUGGGUAGCAAACAGGAUUAGAUACCCUGGUAGUCCACGCCGUAAAACGAUGAGUACUAGGUGUAG
rnacentral:rRNA from 1 species